rnacentral:rRNA from 1 species
UACGUAGGGUGCAAGCGUUAAUCGGAAUUACUGGGCGUAAAGCGUGCGCAGGCGGUGAUGUAAGACAGGUGUGAAAUCCCCGGGCUUAACCUGGGAACUGCACUUGUGACUGCAUCGCUGGAGUGCGGCAGAGGGGGAUGGAAUUCCGCGUGUAGCAGUGAAAUGCGUAGAGAUGCGGAGGAACACCGAUGGCGAAGGCAGCCCCCUGGGCCAACACUGACGCUCAGGCACGAAAGCGUGGGGAGCAAACAGG